rnacentral:rRNA from 1 species
AGAGCGAACGCUGGCGGCGUACCUAACACAUGCAAGUCGAACGGGGAUCAUAGGGUUAGCAAUAACUCUGUGGUUCUAGUGGCGCACGGGUGAGUAACACGUGGGUAACCUGCCCUUGAGACUGGGAUACCCCCUCGAAAGGGGGGCUAAUACCGGAUACGUUCCUCGGAUCGAAAGGUCUGAGGAGGAAAGGUGGCGAAAGCUGCCGCUCUUGGAGGGGCUCGCGGCCUAUCAGCUAGUUGGCGGGUAACGGCCCACCAAGGCUAUGACGGGUAGCUGGUCUGAGAGGACGACCAGCCACACGGGGACUGAGACACGGCCCCGACUCCUACGGGAGGCAGCAGUGGGAAUUUCCGCAAUGGGCGAAAGCCUGACGGAGUGACGCCGCGUGUGGGACGAAGGCCUUCGGGUCGUAAACCACUGUCAGUGGAAAGAUGGUGUCGGCGCGAUAACCGCCGGCAUUUGACGGUACCUGCAGAGGAAGCCCCGGCUAACUCUGUGCCAGCAGCCGCGUAA